UACGUAGGUGACAAGCGUUGUCCGGAUUUACUGGGCGUAAAGAGCGCGCAGGCGGUCGUUCAAGUCGAGUGUGAAAGCCCCCCGGCUCAACUGGGGAGGGUCACUCGAUACUGAUCGACUCGAAGGCAGGAGAGGGUAGUGGAAUUCCCGGUGUAGUGGUGAAAUGCGUAGAUAUCGGGAGGAACACCAGUGGCGAAGGCGACUACCUGGCCUGUUCUUGACGCUGAGGCGCGAAAGCUAGGGGAGCAAACGGG
rnacentral:rRNA from 1 species